UACAGAGGGGGCAAGCGUUGUUCGGAAUUACUGGGCGUAAAGGGCGCGUAGGCGGCCUGACAAGUGGAAGGUGAAAUCCCUCGGCUUAACCGAGGAACUGCCCUCCAAACUGUCUGGCUUGAGACCGGGAGAGGUGAGUGGAAUUCCCAGUGUAGAGGUGAAAAUUCGUAGAUAUUGGGAAGAACACCGGUGGCGAAGGCGGCGACCUGGUCCAUUACUGACGCUGAGGCGCGACAGCGUGGGGAGCAAACAGG
rnacentral:rRNA from 1 species